rnacentral:rRNA from 1 species
UAUUACCGCGGCUGCUGGCACGGAGUUAGCCGAUGCUGAUUCCUCAGGUACCUUCACUUUCUUAUUCCCUGAGAAAAGAGGUUUACAACCCAAGAGCCUUCCUCCCUCACGCGGUAUUGCUCCGUCAGGCUUUCGCCCAUUGCGGAAAAUUCCCCACUGCUGCCUCCCGUAGGAGUCUGGGCCGUGUCUCAGUCCCAGUGUGGCUGGUCAUCCUCUCAGACCAGCUACUGAUCGUCGCCUUGGUGGGCCUUUACCCCACCAACUAGCUAAUCAGACAUCGGCCGCUCCUAUAGCAUGAGGCCUUGCGGUCCCCCACUUUCACCCUCAGGUCGUAUGCGGUAUUAGCUAAUCUUUCGACUAGUUAUCCCCCACUACAGGGCACGUUCCGAUGUAUUACUCACCCGUUCGCCACUCGCCAUCAAUCUAGCAAGCUAGAUCAUGCUGCCGUUCGACUUGCAUGUGUAAGGCAUGCCGCCAGCGUUCAAUCUGAGCCAGGAUCAAACUCU